rnacentral:rRNA from 1 species
GACGAACGCUGGCGGCGUGCCUAAUACAUGCAAGUAGGACGCAGUUGCGAACGGGAGAGUAACGCGUAGGUAACUACCUAUUAGAGGGGGAUAACUAUUGGAAACGAUAGCUAAUACCGCAUACUAGUAGAUGGACCUGCGUUUUAUUAGCUAGUAGGUAGGGUAAUGGCCUACCUAGGCAACGAUACAUAGCCGAGUUGAGAGGGUGAUGGGCCAGAAGGGGACGGAGACACGGCGCAGAGUCCUACGGGAGGCAGCGGUAGGGAAACGUCGGGAAUGGGGGGAACCCUGAGCGAGCAACGGCGCGUGAGUGAGGAAGGUUUUCGGAGCGUAAAGCUCUGUUGUUAAGGAAGCGGUACUUAACCAGAAAGGGACGGCUAACUACGUGCCAGCAGCCGCGGUAAUUC